ensembl:snoRNA
UGCAGCUAUGUCAAAUUCACUGCCUACCUCACCCAUGGCAGGCACUGGCCCAAAAGGCUGCUACAGAAAUACUGUGACUCAUGGGCCCUGAUCCUCUGUGCUAGGCCUCAGGGAUAAAUUUGGUUACAGACACCA